rnacentral:rRNA from 1 species
CACGUAGGGCGCAAGCGUUGUCCGGAAUUAUUGGGCGUAAAGAGCUCGUAGGUGGUUUGUUACGUCCGCUGUGAAAUCCUAGGGCUUAACCCUGGGCUUGCAGUGGAUACGGGCAGACUAGAGGUAGGAAGGGGAGAAUGGAAUUCCUGGUGUAGCGGUGAAAUGCGCAGAUAUCAGGAGGAACACCGGUGGCGAAGGCGGUUCUCUGGGCCUUACCUGACACUGAGGAGCGAAAGCGUGGGGAGCGAACAGG